ACGAACGCUGGCGGCGUGCUUAACCCCUGCAAGUCGCACGGAAAGGCCCUGCUUUUGUGGGGUGCUCGAGUGGCGAACGGGUGAGUAACACGUGAGUAACCUGCCCUUGACUUUGGGAUAACUUCAGGAAACUGGGGCUAAUACCGGAUAGGAGCUCCUGCUGCAUGGUGGGGGUUGGAAAGUUUCGGCGGUUGGGGAUGGACUCGCGGCUUAUCAGCUUGUUGGUGGGGUAGUGGCUUACCAAGGCUUUGACGGGUAGCCGGCCUGAGAGGGUGACCGGCCACAUUGGGACUGAGAUACGGCCCAGACUCCUACGGGAGGCAACAGGGGGGAAUAUGGCACAAUGGGCGGAAGCCUGAUGCAGCAACGCCGCGUGCGGGAUGACGGCCUUCGGGUUGUAAACCGCUUUCGCCUGUGACGAAGCGUGAGUGACGGUAAUGGGUAAAGAAGCACCGGCUAACUACGU
rnacentral:rRNA from 1 species